UACAGAGGGUGCGAGCGUUGUCCGGAAUCACUGGGCGUAAAGGGUGCGUAGGCGGCGCGGUAAGCGUGCGGUGAAAGCCCGGGGCUCAACCCCGGGUCGGCCGUGCGGACUGCCGGGCUGGAGCACUGUAGAGGCAGGUGGAAUUCCGGGUGUAGCGGUGGAAUGCGUAGAGAUCCGGAAGAACACCGGUGGCGAAGGCGGCCUGCUGGGCAGUAGCUGACGCUGAAGCGCGACAGCGUGGGGAGCAAACAGG
rnacentral:rRNA from 1 species